rnacentral:rRNA from 1 species
UGGAUGAUGUGGAUUAAUUCGAUGCAACGCGAAGAACCUUACUACCCUUGACAUGUCCGGAACUUGCCAGAGAUGGCUUGGUGCCCGAAAGGGAAUCGGAACACAGGUGCUGCAUGGCUGUCGUCAGCUCGUGUCGUGAGAUGUUGGGUUAAGUCCCGCAACGAGCGCAACCCUUAUCAUUAGUUGCUACGCAAGGGCACUCUAAUGAGACUGCCGGUGACAAACCGGAGGAAGUGGGGAUGACGUCAAGUCCUCAUGGCCCUUAUGGGUAGGGCUUCACACGUCAUACAAUGGUCGGUACAGAGGGUUGCCAAGCCGCGAGGCGGAGCCAAUCCCACAAAGCCGAUCGUAGUCCGGAUUGUUCUCUGCAACUCGAGAGCAUGAAGUCGGAAUCGCUAGUAAUCGCAGGUCAGCAUACUGCGGUGAAUACGUUCCCGGGUCUU